UUCUUCUUCACCGUCACCGCCCUCAAUUUUCAUUUCCUUGAUGCUCUUUCCUAGUGGCUGAAGAAGCAGCUGGUUUUCUUCACAGGCCGUCAUCGGAUCCCGCGGGAGCUUCAGAGAAGACUUCUGACCAUCAAAUUUAUCAUUAACUUAUACAGCUCUGGAUGACCAUUAUCCAGAGCCGUGCCCAGGCUCUGUUUUGCACCUUGCCUUGAGACUGCCUGCCUGCAGGUGUGAAGGAGGAAAGAUGGUGCACAGGACUGUGUACACAGGAGGGUUUUACACGGAAGGACUACAGAAUAGUUAAGUAUGUCAGUGCCAUCAGCUGUGACUGGAAAAAGAAGGUGAUUCAGAUGCAAGAAGUCAUUUUAUGUGUCACAAAUGUAUUAUUGGAAUUUGUCUUUCAAUAAAUUGUUUUAAAAA